UAUUAUUUUGGAUGUAAAUUAAUUAAACUUGAGUAGUAGUAGUUAAGGUCUUGAAACUUAAAGAAUUUGGCGGUAUUUUAGUCUAUUUAGAGGAAUCUGUUCCAUAAUCGAUAAUCCACGUUGGACCUUACUUAAUUUAUUGAAUAUGUAUACCGCCGUUGUUGAAGAUCUUUUUAGGGGAAAUUUUUAUAAUAUUUAUUAAAUAAUUUUUCAGGUCAAGGUGCAGUUUAUAAUUAAGUGGAAAUGGAUUACAAUAUUUUUAUGUAUACGGAUUAUUAUUUGGAAUUAAUAAUAUAAAGGUGGAUUUAAUAGUAAUAUUAUAAAGAUUAAUAAUAUGAUUAUAGCUCUAAAAUAUGCACACAUCGCCCGUCGCUCUCGUUAUGUUAAGGGGAG
rnacentral:rRNA from 1 species